rnacentral:rRNA from 1 species
AACGAACGCUGGCGGCAUGCCUAACACAUGCAAGUCGAACGAGACCUUCGGGUCUAGUGGCGCACGGGUGCGUAACGCGUGGGAACCUGCCCUUAGGUUCGGAAUAACUCCCCGAAGGGGGUGCUAAUACCGGAUAAUGUCUUCGGACCAAAGAUUUAUCGCCUUUGGAUGGGCCCGCGUUGGAUUAGCUAGUUGGUAGGGUAAAAGCCUACCAAGGCGACGAUCCAUAGCUGGUCUGAGAGGAUGAUCAGCCACACUGGGACUGAGACACGGCCCAGACUCCUAGGGGAGGAAGGGGGGGGGAAUAUGGGAAAAGGGGCGAAAGCCUGACCAAGCAAUGCGGGGGGAGGGAGGAGGCCUUGAGGUUUGAAAACCUUUUUCACCCGGGAUGAAAAUGACAGUACGGGGAAAAAAAGCCCCGGCUACCCCCGUG